rnacentral:rRNA from 1 species
AUUGAACGCUGGCGGCAUGCUUUACACAUGCAAGUCGAACGGCAGCGCGGGGCAACCUGGCGGCGAGUGGCGAACGGGUGAGUAAUACAUCGGAACGUACCCAGAAGUGGGGGAUAACGUAGCGAAAGUUACGCUAAUACCGCAUACGUCCUACGGAAGAAAGUGGGGGACCUUCGGGCCUCAUGCUUUUGGAGCGGCCGAUGUCUGAUUAGCUAGUUGGUAGGGUAAAGGCCUACCAAGGCGACGAUCAGUAGCUGGUCUGAGAGGACGACCAGCCACACUGGGACUGAGACACGGCCCAGACUCCUACGGGAGGCAGCAGUGGGGAAUUUUGGACAAUGGGCGCAAGCCUGAUCCAGCAAUGCCGCGUGAGUGAAGAAGGCUUUCGGGUUGUAAAGCUCUUUUGUCAGGGAAGAAACGGCUGAGGUUAAUACCUUCGGCUAAUGACGGUACCUGAAGAAUAAGCACCGGCUAACUACGUGCCAGCCGCCGCUGUAA